AUUGAACGCUGGCGGCAGGCUUAACACAUGCAAGUCGAACGAGUGGCGGACGGGUGCGUAAUGUAUGGGGAUCUGCCCGAUCGAGGGGGAUAACUACUGGAAACGGUGGCUACUACCGCAUACUACCGGAUGUACCCAUAUGGGAUUAGCUAGUAGGUGGGGUAAAGGCUCACCUAGGCGACGAUCUCUAGCUGGUCUGAGAGGAUGAUCAGCCACACUGGGACUGAGACACGGCCCAGACUCCUACGGGAGGCAGCAGUGGGGAAUAUUGCACAAUGGGCGCAAGCCUGAUGCAGCCAUGCCGCGUGUAUGAAGAAGGCCUUAGGGUUGUAAAGUACUUUCAGCGGGGAGGCGUUACCCGCAGAAGAAGCACCGGCUAACUCCGUGCCAGCAGCCGCGGUAAUUC
rnacentral:rRNA from 1 species